rnacentral:lncRNA from 1 species
UGAUGAGUGCGUAUUUUUGCCCACAUUUAUGCUUUAAAAUUUAUAUUUUUGAUAAGAUUUUUGUGCUUAAAUGGGUGAUUUUAAGUGAAUAUGUGUGGAGUUGAAUUGUUAGGUUUUGGAAUUAAAGAGGCUUAAAAAGUGAUUUUAAUUGCAUAAAUUAUUCUUGGAUAUUCUAAUAUUUAUUUGUGCAGCUGAAGUUAGAGAUUUAUUGGUCCAAAUUGCAAUUUAAAGCCCAAACUCAGAUUUUAUUUCAUAAAUAAUGUACAAAUGGGCUAAACAGUCAAUUUUUACCUUUGCACCCCCAGAUUUCCCUACAUACACCCCCAGUUUUAAACCAGGCCAACAACCAAGCCCAAACACUAAACCUUUUCUCCUACACCUCCUAAAUUUUCCUAUCCAUACCCCUCCUAUCACUAACUAAGUCUGAUUGCCUAAGAUGGUGCCACAUGGCAGUCCACAAAUAAUAGAUCUAACCAUCCAGAUGAUGCCACAUCACUAAUCCCUGCACUCACCAAAUAAACCACUUAGAGCAUGCCACCUAGCCUCUCUUGCCACGUCAUCACCAUCUCCAACAGAAACCCUAAUUCCCAAAUCCAAACCCUAGCCGCCGCAACAGUGCUAUCUACUUCCGGUGAGCCACCAUCUUCUGCGUCCAUCAUUUCGCCGUCGAUCAACAUCCUCGCUGCCUAAGACCGUCGUCACCAUCUCAACGCACCAUCAACAAGUGCCCAAGCCACCGUGAAAACACGCGACAUCGGACCACCAACCACCAUCUUCUUUGCGAGCGAGCCGCCGCCACAGAGACCAAAUCGCGAACAGUGCUUCCGUAGAGGGAAGGAAUCAAACCCAGCAAUCUUCUCGAUCUCUCGCGUUUCUGAAUCUGCAAUCAGGAAAACAGCAAGCAACCAUCCUCACCAUGAAAUCGCGUCAGCCUUCGUCGCGAGUCCAUGGCCACCACGCUUCGACCACCAUUUUCCUUACGCCGCGCCACCACCAUCAACGAGAGCCAUCUCCAUUUGCGAGACCUGCAACCAGAAAUCACCACCACAGACCUACGAUUAGCAUCAUUUCCCUCGCUCUUCUUCCAGUCAUCAACACCGCCUUCGUCUUCCUUCAAGUCGCAAAACCCAGAAUCGCGAAUCCUCUUCCUCCAUGGACACCGUCGCACCUCGCACCAGUCCA